UACGUAGGGUGCGAGCGUUGUCCGGAAUUAUUGGGCGUAAAGAGCUCGUAGGCGGUCUGUCGCGUCGGUCGUGAAAACUUGGGGCUUAACCCUGAGCUUGCGGUCGAUACGGGCAUGACUGGAGUUCGGCAGGGGAGACUGGAAUUCCUGGUGUAGCGGUGAAAUGCGCAGAUAUCAGGAGGAACACCGGUGGCGAAGGCGACAUCCUGGACCGGUAUUGACGCUGAGGCGCGAAAGCCAGGGGAGCAAACGGG
rnacentral:rRNA from 1 species